rnacentral:lncRNA from 1 species
CGCCAUCCACCGAAUCCCAGGACGAUUGAGAAAACAGAGAGUCUCGGUCGGAGGACUUAAAAACACCGAACGCCUUGCCAAGAGGUAAACUUGGUAGUUAUUCUUUUCCUUUCAAUUAUUUAAACUAGUUUGCUUAGUUAAUCAGGUUCAUGCUAUCUUGAAAAGAAAACAAAAAUGUUAAAAAUAGUAAGCCCCAUGUGAGAAUGCUCAUGGCAUAAAACCCAUAAGUACAUUCACUGUGGUGGCGUAAAAAUAAAUAUAUAUAUUCCUGUCCUAUAAAAAUAAAAAUAUAAAAAUAAAUUUAUGAUCCUACUAAAGAGAGUAACAUUUAUUGAGGAGGCUCAACAUGAAAAAGGCUAGAUAUUUAUGCUAACACUUAACUAGUUCCACAAAGCUUUGUUGUCUAUUUGAGCUCCACAGAAUUCAAGGAUCAAAGAAGACUAGCAGACGGAGGACAUCCUAAUCGCUUUCAGAGUGCUGCCGACAUUCAAAUACACCUCCGCCACCUGCUAGCUACAUCAGAAGAAAAUUCGUCAAAAUCCAGCUUGGGGGAGAGCACCCCCAUUUAUCCAGCUAAGUGUUCUACUCAUCUUUAUACUUUACUCAAAUAAUAAAAAUAUGCAUAAUCAUAAAAACCCAAAUAAAGAUUUUGUGCUUAUAUAUAUAUAUAUAUCUUUGCUUAGUUUGCUAAAUAAAUAAAUAAAUAAAUAAAGUUUGCUAUGAACCCUCAUGAUAAGCUCUCACAUGGAAAUGAUGAAUAGUUGCUCUGCCAUGAUUAGUUCUAAAAAUUGAAACCUCUCUUAAGUUUAGGCAUGACUGUUAUUAAUUAAGAUUUGCUCUAAACCUGAACUUGUGGGGAGAGUACUUGAUCUAAAGUCUAAGUCGUUAACGGAUACGAUAUGGGAAGGUUGAGCUGCUGUUUAUCUGUUCCUAGAGAUGCUAGAAUUCUGGAGAAUUUUAUCUUUGAAAAUCUUUAAAUUGUUGCAUGAUGAGUUCCUGUAUGAUGAGAGUUUAAAUUCCUACCACAGCCAUAUAUACAUGCUUGCUAGACUUUGAGCCACACAUUUACUUUUUACUGCUUAUGAGCAUUGAGUGUGGUCAAGCUUUGUAGACCCUUAGGAGCUUGUCAUGUGGUUAAAUCAAGAUUCACUUGCACGUUCACUCAUACAUGCUGCUUCUACUCCGGAAGUACGCAUCCACAUAUAUUCAUCCAUUUCCAUCUCCAGAACCACCCAAAAAUAUUCUACUCCUAAUCCGGGAGAGAAUAGCCAAAAAUAUUCCUGUUUUUCCCCUGUGAAAUAAAUGCUCAAGUUAUCUUGUUACUACCACUUGCUAUAUUAUCUCAUGAGAUGAGUGCUCUAAAAAAAAGAAAAAAAAAUAUAUAUACGAGGAAAAAAAAAGGGGCAAGUGCCCGGAACCUCGAAGAAAAGAAAAAGUGAGACGAGAGGUAAAAAUGGACAAGUGUCCGAUAGUAGAAUUAGGGGUACAAGAUACCCACCAGAGAGAAAAGAAAAAGAAAACAUAGAGCAUCUCAUUCUCCUCAAAAAGUUUCAAAAGAGCAAGAAAGGUAUGUAUCCGUUCAAAAGAGCACAAGUAGAAUUAGACGUUCACCAUUGUUAUCACCAUCAUCACCAUACACCAUUCAUUCGCCACACAUGCACAUCUUGAUUUGACUUAUUGACUUGUUCUUCUGGAUCCAUGGUUUGACUAUACAAUAAAUGUCUUGUAAGUAUGUAUAUUUUAUCUCCCACCUAUGAGCUCCAGAUAUUAAAGCCUUAUUAGAGUAGGGUGAGAGAGAAGACAAUGUCACUAUCCCUUAUACCACAAAUACCACAUAUUUUGAGAGAAGGCAUAUACCAUCACUGCCUUGGUAAGGAUCCAGAAAUACCACAAAAGAGAGAUAUGAGAGAGUCAUACAAAGGAAUCUCUGAGUUUUAUUUGGAAAUCUGCAAAAACUCCAGAGCUAUAGCUGAUCAAGAAUAAGAGACAUGGCACUUGGCUAGACUGUUCUAUCUUUUAACCACUCAAGACAGAAGUGACGGUUACAAGUCCCAUGGUGAAAGGUAAAGUAAGUAAGUUUUAAGUCUUGACAGUUUACUCUAACUCAGAGAUGAGACCUCUUUUAAAAGCAUGUGUACCGUCAAUUUUUAAAGAUAUUGCAACAACUUAUGAUCCAUAGCUGAGUCUAUCCUUGCUCAGGGACGAGCAAGAGGUAAGCUUGGGGGAGUUUGUUGACGGUCCUUAAGUAUCAAAUUUAACUAUCAAAUAAACAAAGAAAAGGAUCCAAAUGAAAUCAACAUCGAGACUUAGGGUUUUAUCUGACAGAAUUCCACGAGUUUUGGUGUUUGUCUAUUUCUGCAGGGGGUUAUCAGGAAAUAAGGAAGAAAGGCCCACACGUCGGGAUUACAUAGAGAUAUCAACGUGCCGCGCAAUUAUCUUACAUCUAGAAGACUCCAGAAGCCAUGGGAAGGAAGCGGAGACUGAACGGAGUCAGGGACAGGGCGCCCGCCCAAGUCCUUAGGGCGCCCGCCCACCUUUUUCAGCCAAUCACGCUCAAUCUCGCGGAUUAUGCUCCACCAACCUAAAGGAUCAAGAAUAACCGUUCAAUCAAUGUCGGUUUGAUCCGACGGCCCAGGUUCACUUGAGGGGACUAUAAAACCAGACCCCCUGGCCCCUAGAGGAGGCAACCCUUGAUCAUUAUUCACUAUUCAUAGACAGAGCAAAAGCUAGGGUUUAGAGAUGAGAGCUCUCCUCUCUUCUCUAAACUAGAGUAGAUCUAGAUAGUAGCGAGAUGGAGAGCGAAGGAGGAUUAGAGGAGAGGCCGGCCUGUCGGUUCUUCCUCCGGUUGUACUUCGCCAUGAUCAAGCUCUAAUCAAGCUUGCUCAUGGGAUGACUCUGGUAAUCUACUUCUAAUUCAUUAUGCAAUUACUAAUCAUGUAUGUUCUCGUUCACAACUCUUUUGAGUACUUCUAAUCUAUAGGACCCUAUAGGUUAGAGUUGUAGUAUAGGUGUAAGCGUGGUGCUUAGACCUAGAUUACUUGUGGAUAUCCUCUGACUAGCUGGAUCGUGUGGUAGGCCGCGUAGGUGACAGUUACGUUGGUCCCCUGUAGUCCACCUCUCGUUAGCAGGACGGGUAGGGUUUAUCGGCCUAUGGAUAAGCAUCCUUUGUGGUGUACUCUUAUCACGUGGUUCGUCCCAGACAUAGACAUACCCCUUUGAAGUAGAGAAACCAUAGUUAUCAUCUCUAUUCUGCUACCAUCGCCCAUAUACUAGAAUUGCUCUACUCUCUAUUCCCAUAUUAUCACUCACUGUUAUCUUACCUUUAAUAUUGUUCUUAUUCGAUUCUACCAUCUUUCCUAUUCACACCUAUUUACUUAUCUUAGUUAAGUUAGAGCGUAGAUCAGUUCUCCCGUUUCCCUGUGGAUGCGAUAAAACCUUUAACCGGGUAAAAGCUUCAACGGUAUUCGUGCGCUUGCGGAUUAUCUGUGUGCGUAUAAAUACCAUAGUACACUCUAGUGCCACGUUGGGGAUGACAACCUAGUAUUCAAGUGGUGUUAGCAAGUGUCAACAGGAACUAGUCAUGGCAGAGCAACUAUUCAUCAUUUCCAUGUGAGAGCUUAUCAUGAGGGUUCAUAGCAAACUUUAUUUAUUUAUUUAGCAAGCUAAGCAAAGAUAUAUAUAUAUAUAUAAGCACAAAAUCUUUAUUUGGGUUUUUAUGAUUAUGCAUCUUUUUAUUAUUUGAGUAAAAUAUAAAUGCGAGUAGAACACUUAGCUGGAUAAAUGGGGUGCUCUCCCCCAAGCUGGAUUUUGAUGUAAUUUCUUCUGAUGUAGCUAGUAGGUGGUGGAGGUGUAUUUGAAUGUCAGCAGCACCCUGACAGUGAUUAGGAUGUCCUCCGUCUGCUUGUCUUCUUUGAUCCUUGAAUUCUCUUGGCAAGGCGUGCGGUGUUUUUAAGUCCUCCGAACGGGACUCUCCGUUUUCUCAAUCAUCCUGGAAUUCGCUGGAUGGCGUAGUCGGUUGUUCCGGCGGCGCGUACUUCUUCUUGUAUGACUAUCUUCUUUCUCCACACCUGCCUCGGUGCACUUCUCCUUCGUACUCUGCCCAUCCGUCCUUGAUGAUUUUCCUCCUCUGGUUGCGGUUGCGUCAUCUUCUUCUUGUCCUGACCUACUUAGAGUCUUCAACUAUAUAGUUAGGGUCAGUAAAAUAGCAGUGUACCUUCUCAGAGGGGAAAUGCAUGUGGACUCCGCCGGUUCUAAUGUAGAUGAUUGCUUUAACGGUGCUGUGGAACAGUCUCCCAAUGGUGAUGGGUGUAUUGUACUCGUCUUCUCCCAUGUCAAUAACCUUAAAAUCAUCUGGAGCUGAAUGUAUGUCGGUUUUAGGGGCAUGGUUCUGAACAGGAGUUGAUAGGUGACUGCGGCCAUUAUGUUGUCGCCUGAUCCGGUGUCGCAAAGCGUCUUUGUUGACGGUCCUUAAUGCUCACAAUUAACUAUCAAUUAAUCAUAGAAAAGGAUCCAAAUGCAACCAACACCUAGACUUAGGGUUUUAUCUGACAGAAUUCCACGAGUUUUGGUGUUUGUCUAUUUCUGCAAGGGGUUAUCAGGAAUUAUGGAAGAAAGGCCCACACGUCGGGUUUACAUAGAGAUAUUAACGUGCCGCGCAAUUUUCUAUCAUCUAGAAGACUCCAGAAGCCACGGGACCGAAGCGGAGGCCGAGAGGACACAGGGACAGGGCGCCCGCCCACCUCUUUCCACCAAUCAGGGUGAAGUUCGGGGAUCAUGCUCCACCGACCUAAUACUUCAAGGAAAACCACACGAUCAAUGUCGGUUUGAUCCGACGGCCCAGAUUCACUUGGAGGGACUAUAAAACCAGACCCCCUGGCCCCUGGAGAUCAUACCUCUUCUACAGAAUAAAAGCUAGGGUUUCAAUUCUUCAUCCAAGUAGAGAGGAUCCCUCUAGUUCUUCUAGUUCUACCUCUAGUUCAUCUAGAUCUAGUUCUAGUUCAUCUAGUUCUAGUUCUAGUUCUUCUAGUUCUAGUUCUAGUUAGUUCUAGUUGUAAUCUAGAAAAUAGGGAGAGAGAAGAGGAGAGCGGAGGAGGAGCCAGAUCUGUCGGAUCUUCCUCAACAUUAUACUUUUGCAGCAUCUGGUUCGUUCUUCAUCGUUCUCCAGGUUCUUCAAUUCAUAAUUCCUGAGUUCUUUAAUUACUUUUAUUUACAUUCAAGUUAUUUAUUGGAUUCCCGCUUGCAUCAAGUGCUCUAGUCUUUAUAACGCUAGAGUAGUAAUUAAUAGAUUAGACGUGGUUUUUAGUCUUGCGAUUACCUGAUAUUGCACCCAAUCCUACGGAUUGUUGUGGUAGCCCUAGGGUAGUGACAGCCCUAACGGUCGACGUAUUCCACCACGUUCGGAUCGGUGUUUGUAGGACCGUAGUCAGACCUUCCUAGCCCCCUUCUCAUCUCUUUCUGAUGUCCCGAUAUAGAUAAUCUUGAAGUAAUUCUUGAUUCUUAGAUCAACUAGAGAACUCUCAGGAAACUUCCUCUCUUCCCACCAAAAAUAAUUAUAUAGUUAUCUUUGGGCGAUCUUGAUUCUUAAUUAGUACACUCACGUUCUCUGUGGAAAAUCGAUACUCUGGAAUACUCCCGGGUGAAGGCUACAUCGGUAUCCGUGCGCUUGCGGAUUUUUCUGUUUGCGUUUAAAAUACCCAACAAGCUUUCUGGCGCCGUUGCCGGGGAACGGUAGCUGCGCUAGUUUCGAACCAAGUCGUCCGUGUAUCUUUUUUCUUUUCCUUUUUUACCACACUCACCUUAUCAUUUUCACCAUACCACAUGGAUUUCACUCUAAGCAUUAAUGAGCAUGGAAUUUAUUUCAUAGCCACUCCAUUUACUCCAUGCUCAUAUGCAACAUCUUCACAAUCCAUUGGUCUCUCCAACAUCACCACAUUCGAGAUCCCCAACCCCCUCAUCCUUUCUAUUUAUAAAAACUUUAACAGGUGGUUGUCGAUGCAUAUGUUUAUAAUAAAUUUUGCAGAUCUUGUUGAGUUGAUCUUGAUAUAGGUCAGCGUAGGAGGGGAAACCACUUCACUGACAUAAAUUGAUGGUUUCCCAAGGACAAGCUUAGUGUCCUAAAACAAGCACUUAUUAGAUCAUAACAUGAAUUAUUUGCAUCAUUACCUUGUGUGUUGAGCGUAUAAGUAUAAUUGUAAAAAAUUCCUUCGGGUAUUCUUGUCACUAACCUUUCCAGGAUUGGAGCAAGAAGAUCGGAUGAAUGACAAGCACAAGGUAUGUACAACCAAUCAUCAUACAACAUUGAAUUAAAUUCAUCCAAACUUGAAUUUUGCAAAAUUCAAGCUUGGGGGAGUACUUUACAUAAAACAUCCUUUGCCAUGUUGCUAUGUUGGUUGUCCCUACCUUUGAGACAUGCUCAAUUUGUUAAAUACUAAUCACACUACUUUAUCUCUACUUGAGUAGAUCUCUAUUAAUGCUCUCAUGGUACCUUUAUUUGCUUUAGUAUAUGUCUAGGUUGGAGUAGUUUCAUUUAUCUCUUAAUUAAGCAUGGUGCUUAGUUUAGGGCUGAUGAUCUUACUUCCAAGGGAGUUUAAAUUAAGCAUGAAGCUUAGGUUAAAAUGCCCUCCUAAAUCAAAUUAGACAUGGUGUCUAGGUUGAUUUUUGAACCGAUAGUAUGCUAUAGUAGAUACUGGAUAUUUUGUUGGACUAACCCCUGCAGGAAAACUUUCAAUAUCGACCUGGGAAGUCCUGAGAUAAACUCACAUUGGAGACAAAGAGAGAGGCACAUGAAGUUUAACAAUUUACACAAGGAAGGCAUAGCUCACAAGUGAUGAUCCAUGGAGUGUGCCACAAACACGAUGCACAACCGAUAAGAAAGGAAAGCUUUCACAAGGUGAUACUGUACCAUCACUCUUCAAGUAAGGUAACAUCUUAAGGUACUUGACUAUCACUUUUAUAAGCUUCUCCUUGGUUCUGGCGUUCACAUGAGUAAAAGAGACAAACAUGUAUGAUUUACAACUCUAGAUUAACCAACCCAAUCGAUUCAACAUGUUUAGUCUUUCCAUCUUUGUGAUCCUACACUCCUAAUCAUAUGAACUAAAAUGUUGCACACUCAAUCUUUAGAAAAUGAUAGUCAUGUAAAGAAAAAAAAACAUUUACUUAGAUAGAUUAUCUUUCCAUAAGGUUAAGUGAUCUGAUCUGACAAAUGUUUUAAAUGCUACACUCAUGAUCUUAUUAUCCUUCAACUUUGUCUUGCUCACUAUGCUUAAGGUUAGAGAAGAACAAAUACACUUUUGGUUCUGUUGGUGUUUUCCACCAACAGGGCCGAUGCACUUGAUCUCUGCCUUGUCUCUAUGAGUAGGUACACUUCGAGCAAAAUAUGAAGGAGUUUUACAACUCCCAGACACCACCAAGUGAAGAACCUAGAUCUACGAGCACAAACACACUGGAGAUACUGGACACUCAAGCAAUCACUGCCCUAAGAUGCUUGAGGACGUAACUACUGGAGUAACCCCGUUGUGGAAGUAAUUACUGACCUUCUGCCGGUCAAGAGAGGCGAUCCAGGACGCCCCGUCAUCCCGAUCUCCAUCGGCAUGGUGGACUUCCCAGAAGCACUCUGCGACUUUGGCUCCAGCGUCAACAUUAUGCCCAGGCUUGCUGUUGACACCGUUUUUGGGCACGUGUAUAGGAUGACGGGAUAAGGUGGCAGUAUGCUGUUUACAGGAUGAGUUGCCGAUGAAGACAGUUGCCGAUGAAGGAGAGGUUGAAUGUGACUAGGUCCGCGGGCAGUAAUGUGUUUAUGCCGAUGGCUAUAAUGGGGGAGUCUGCCGAUGACCAUGGUAAGAAGUCUGCCGAUGACCAUGGUAAGGAGUCUGCCGAUGAUACGGAGGAGGAGUCCGGGAACUGUUGAUCGGUUUAUGGAAGAGUUUUAGUUCGUCACGGGAGAUAAUUUUGUUAUUUCCUUAUUUAUUUAAGUUGUUUUGUGUACGGAUUCCGUGCAAUUUGGAAUUCGAACUCUAGUCGUGUUUAAUUGUAGCUCUUUGAGUAGGGUAUAAAUAUGAACCCUAGGGCCUUGUAAUCUGGGAAUCAAUCAAACACACGUUUUUACUCAUAUUCCAGCAUCUACUUUUCGACGACUUCGUCAUACUUUUUUCUUUUUAUUACGAGUUCUUAGGAAUUCGUCGACUUAAGCUCGGCGUGUUCUCGAGUUCCGCGUGAGUACCUCUUAGCCGUGACAUCCGGGCGCAUCGCUGUUGUCAGGACUAAAGUAUUCGAGUUAUCACCUUUGCCGAUAGCAAGGUCAAAUCGGCUGGCACGCCUUAACGUUUGAAUCGGGUAUUAGCCCUUUGUGUUUGCAGAUCAAUUUUGCAUCAACACAUCUUUUGGCACGCCCAGUGGGACCGAUUCAAGAUCAAGAUCAACAUGUCGAUCUCUGACCUCGAUCAAGAGAACGUCAUCCCCGUGACGGAGGCCAACCUCAAGGAUGAGCAAAAGCAAGCUAUUGCCCAAGCCAUGGAAGAGUUCAAGCAGCAAUGCCUGAGGUCUUUCAGCAUAAACAGGAGCGGCGAAGUGGUCCAGAAAGAUGCACUGCCGGCACCACGGCAGGUCACCUUUGACGCCAAUCCUGGCAAGCUUCAAGAUAUGGUUGACAAUGCCAUCAAUCGAGCGUUGAUCAACCAAGCUGGUGUACUGUCUAAUACGGUUUUCAACGCCGUGGCAAGAACUUUCAAGGAAGGACAAAUCCCGCCAGAUUAUGUGGGGCCCUCCCAUCAUCAGCCAACGGCGCCAGAGGUCACGGCUCCAUCGGCUACCUUGACGAAUGCAAGUGCACAGUCUGCCGUCCCUCCAAGUACAUUGGGGACUACUGGUGUACUAUCUGUGCCGAUGGCAACCAACCCACAGAUUUCAGUUGGGCAGCAUAGACUGACAACAGAUAUGUUGGCAUCGGCCAUGUCAGGGUUAACUCUUCCUCCCAACUGGUGGGGUUAUGGCAUGCUUCCAGAGUUGACGCCGGGAACAUCACAAGUAACUGGCACGAGGGGCAAAACUCCUAUGACAUCGGCACCUCCCAACGCGCCAGUGAACCAGAGUCCUCGGUAUACCACAACUACUACUGCAAGGCCUCACACUGGGAAUCCUCAAGAUUCAAUGUUUCAGAUGCCCAACGCAUCGGCAGAGUCAGUGUUGAUGCAACAGAGGCCUAUGGCCCAGUCGGGGUAUGUCAAUUCAACGAUGGUACCCAAUUAUCCAUCAUCGGCAGCACCUAUGCCGAUGAACGCUAAUAAUGGAUGGCUUGGACAGCAAGCCUUUCCACAAUCGCCCCAGCAGGGUUAUCAGACUACAGGGUUCCAGCAAGGGCAGGUCUAUCCCGGGUUCCAAGGUCAGGGGAUUCCCAGCCAGCCAAUAAAUUUUGGACAGCAACUCGGAGGACAGCCGAUCGGUGGACAGCAGUUUGGUAGUCCGCAGAUUGGAGGACAGGUGACCAAUACAACGUUCCAUGCAGGUCACGUCCCGAACAGACACGUGGAGGUUCGCCACCAAGUGCCAGAUCCGCAGCCGCCUCAUCGGCAAGAUGCCGAUGCGUAUUGGGCCGAUAAGAUUGCUGAAGUAAUGAGGGAACAAUUUGGGAUAAAACCCAAAGUCAACACUUAUUCUUAUCGAACACCGUAUCCUCCAGCGUAUGAUUUGAUCCCGCUUCCACAUCGGUACAAGGUACCGGAUUUUACAAAGUUUUCCGGACAGGACGACACGUCAACCAUGGAGCAUGUCAACAGGUUCAUUAUUCAAUGUGGAGAGGCUGGUAACAGGGACGAAUUGAGGGUUCGUCUAUUUUCAUCAUCAUUGUCUGGAUCGGCCUUUACUUGGUUCAUAUCAUUACCUCCUAACUCAGUAAUUACUUGGGCCGAUCUAGAGAAGCAAUUCCACAAAUACUUCUUCUCGGGGGUUCAUGAGAAGAAGAUCACCGACUUGGUCAAGUUGAGGCAACGUAAUGAUGAGUCGGUUGAGGGAUUUGUGCAGAGGAUACGGGAGGUCAAGAAUAAAUGCUAUAGCCUGGUUCUGGAUGAUCGGCAGCUAGCCGAUUUAGCAUUUCAGGGUUUGUUGCCACAUAUUAGGGACAAGUAUGCCUCUCAAGAGUUCGAAAGUUUAAGUCAUUUGGUGCAAAGGAUAUCUGAUCAAGACAUCAAGCCUUUCGAGCCUAAGAGGGCAUGGAAUAAGAAAGUGUUAUUUGUUGAUGAAGCAACAAGCUCAGAUUCCGAUGAGGAACCAGUAGUCGGUUUGGCAGAGUGGGUAAAAAACAAGAAGCCGAUGUCUUGUCCUUUUGGGCAGAAGGAACCAGAGAAGUUUGCCUUUGACACCGCCAAGGCCGAUAGGAUAUUUGACUUUCUACUUCAGGAAGGUCAAAUCAAACUGUCCCCUAACCAUGUGAUCCCAUCGGCAGAAGAGUUGAAGAGGAUGAGAUAUUGCAAGUGGCAUAAUGCAACUUCCCAUGACACCAACGAGUGCAAAGUAUUCAGACAGCAGCUGCAAUCGGCUAUAGAAUCCGGGAGAAUCAAGUUUGAUAGUUCCAAAGCCCAGAAGCCGAUGAAGAUAGACCAACAUCCUUUCCCGACAAACAUGUUGGAUGCUAAGGGGAAGGCUAAGGUCUUAACGUCGGAGAUAGCUGAGAAGAGUGCAUCGGUAGAUCCUCAGCAUCAAGUUACUACUGCCGAUGCAAGAAGUAAGGGCUUGGUCUAGGAAGGAACUAGCUCAGGAAGACCUCCUCGAUCUGGUAUCGUCAUAACUCAUAGAAGGCCUCGGAAAAAUUGGCAACAAUGGGAAGAUCGGUAUCGGCGCCAGCAGGAGGAUUAUCGACGGGAAGAAGAAAGACGCCGACAGGAGUGGAAUCGGCACAGGGAUCAUUGGAAUUGUCCAUUCUUCAUCCAUUGUUGGGAGGAAAAUAUUAAGCUUCCUACUGUCAGAGACUGCCCUGAGUGCAAUGGUUAUGAUCGGUACGAUAGGACCGAUCGGCAUUAUCAUGAUGAUGAACGGCGAUUUGAUGGGCCGAUCAGAGGAAGGGUGUCAGUUCAUGACCGGCUGGGGGGCAGAUUUAGUGGGCACGACAGACUUAGUUACCGUGUCCAGUAUUUUCCCAGGGACCAAGAAGAGCUCGAGGAAAUGGCUGAUGUGCGGGUUCCCGAUGAAUUCAUAUUUUGCAGGGAUGCUAACACGCAUCAUAUGGAGUCAAGGGAGAACCGACGCCCUACGGCAAGGCAAAGACCACUUCCUCCAUGGUGCCCUGGAGGAUUGACCAAAACGCAGAAAAGGAGAUUGCAACGUGAAAGGCAAGAGGAACUAAACAAGGGAGGGAACUCUGGAAGUCGGCAGCCGUCAGACACUAAGAGGGAAGGUCCAUCGGCAGGUGUCAACAUGGUCUUCAUGUUGCCGAUGGAGUUUCUUGCACCAGCCAGUGAUGAUGAGUUGGAAUUUUCUGAUCAGAUAGCUCAGUUGGCUCUGGAUCCGAUGACGGCUAUCUUUGAGAAACCUGCCGAUGACGAGAGGCAGCAUCUUAAAGCUCUGUUCCUCAAAGGAAGGGUUGAUGGGCAGCCGAUGACUAAGAUCCUAGUUGAUGGUGGAGCUGCUAUUAAUAUUAUGCCGUAUGCGGUAUAUCGGAAGCUUGGGAAAGGGGAUCAAGAUUUGACCAAGACCGAUAUGAUGCUCAAAGACUUUGAAGGAAACGUGUCUCCAGUCAAGGGGGCGAUAUGUGCAGAGUUGACCAUCGGCAGCAAAACCUUGCCAACAACUUUUUUCGUGAUCAGCGGAAAAGGUGCCUAUAAUUUACUAUUGGGGAGAGAUUGGAUUCAUGCCAAUUGUUGUGUCCCAUCGACAAUGCAUCAGUGCUUGGUUCAGUGGGUAGGUGACAAGAUUGAGAUCGUCCCAGGGGAUUCUUCUUAUGUUAUCGCAUCGGCAGAAGCGGAUACUUAUGAAAGGACUAGGUGCAUUUCAGGAGAAGUUUGGGAGAAAGAUUUUCUCAAAGUUGCCGAUUAUGAGAUUCCACCGAUCCAAGCAGUCGGUUCUGACGACGGUUUUUAAUGGAUAGAUUCGCCGAUGAUGGAAAAUUAGGUCAGGGAUUCACAUCGGCCGAUGAUUUGGUAGAAGUAGAUAUCGGUAGUGGUGAUAAGCCUAGGCCUACCUUUAUUAGUGCUAAAUUAGAUCCCGAGUGUAAGCAACAAUUGACUAGUUUGUUAAAGGAAUAUAAAGAUUGCUUUGCUUGGGAUUAUACCGAGAUGCCUGGUUUAGACCGAUCAAUUGUUGAACAUCGGUUGCCCAUCAAGUCUGGAUUUCGGCCACAUCAGCAACCAGCCCGCCGAUGUAAUCCUAACAUUCUACCUGAUAUUAAGGCCGAAAUCACUAAACUUAUUGAAGCUAAGUUUAUUCGGCAGUGUCGGUAUGCCGAAUGGAUUUCCAAUGUCGUUCCGGUUUACAAGAAAAACGGGAAGCUUCGGGUGUGCAUUGAUUUCAGGAAUCUCAAUAAAGCUACACCGAUGGAUGGAUACCCAAUGCCUGUCGCCGAUCUACUGGUUGAUGCUGCAGCCGGCCAUCGGGUCAUCAGCUUCAUGGAUGGUAAUGCAGGUUACAAUCAAAUAUUCAUGGCAGAGGAGGAUAUUCCAAAAACCGCAUUCAGGUGUCCUGGUCAUGUUGGGCUAUUUGAAUGGAUAGUUAUGACUUUUGGGUUAAAGAAUGCUGGCGCUACUUAUCAAAGGGCUAUGAAUUUUAUAUUUCAUGAGUUCAUCGGCAAGAUCGUAGAGAUUUAUAUUGAUGAUGUGGUGGUUAAGUCUGGAGAUUUCUCAAAACAUCUUACCGAUUUACGAAAAGUGUUGGAGUGCACAAGGAAGCAUGGAUUGAAGAUGAAUCCCAACAAGUGUGCAUUUGGCGUAUCGGCAGGGCAGUUUCUUGGUUUCAUGGUACAUCAGAGGGGUAUUGAAAUUAGUCGAAGAUCUAUUGAUGCCAUCAAUAAAAUAGUGGCCCCUACCAAUAAAACCGAGCUCCAAUCCUUGAUCGGCAAGGUAAAUUUAUCAGAAGAUUUAUAUCGAAUUUAUCUGGGAGGAUUCGUGCGUUCAGUCCUCUUCUUAAAUUGAAAGCCGAUCAAGAAUUUAUUUGGGGAGAAGAACAGCAGUUGGCUCUGGAUGAAAUCAAGAAAUAUCUAGUAAAUCCUCCAGUUCUAGUUCCACCUCAACAAGGGAAGCCCUUCAGAUUGUAUUUAUCUACCGAUGGAUCGGUUAUCGGUUCAGCUUUAGUUCAAGAAUUUGAAGGGAAAGAGAGGGUAAUUUAUUAUUUGAGUAGGAGGUUGAUUGAUGCUGAAACCAGGUAUUCGGCCAUUGAGAAACUGUGCUUAUGCUUAUAUUUUUCAUGCGUCAAGUUGAGACAUUACCUGUUAUCGGCCGAAUGCGCUGUUGUUUGCAAAGAUGACGUGGUUCGAUACAUGUUGUCUAUGCCGAUUAUGAGUGGUAGGAUCGGUAAAUGGAUUUUAGCGCUGUCGGAGUUCGAUUUGCGUUACGAAUCGGCUAAGGCAGUCAAAGGGCAGAUUAUGGCCGAUUUUGUGACUCAACAUUGCGGUCCAGUGGAAACCUUGGAAAUUGUGCCCUGGACGUUCUUCUUUGAUGGGUCUACCUGUGACCGGGGGGCAGGAAUCGGCAUUGUAUUGGUUUCCCCUAAGGGGAGGAAGUAUGAGUUUUCCUUGCCGAUUGUUGCCACUUCAACAAAUAAUCAGGCUGAGUAUCAAGCUCUGAUCAAGGGAUUGGAGUUGUUAAGAGAAGUUCGUGCUGAUGCUGUUGAAAUAUUCGGGGAUUCUAUGUUGGUUAUAAAUCAAUUGGCCGGAAGAUAUGAAUGCCGAAGUGAAGCUCUCAUGACUUAUUUCGAGAGAAGUAUGCAACUUUUAAAGGAAUUCAAGGAUUUCCGAUUGGAGCAUGUUCCCCGAUUACAUAAUGAAGACGCUAAUCGGUUAGCUCAGCAUGCUUCGGGAUACCAGCCAACGAUUAAUGCGACAUCGGCAGUCGGUGCCGGUGAUUGGAGGAAAGAAAUUAUUGAUUAUCUAAAAGAUCCAUCCAAAAAAGUUGAAAGACGGGUUCGAUUUCAAGCAACCAAGUAUGUGCUCCUUGAAAAUGAAUUGUAUUAUCGAACUAUUGACGGAAUUCUUCUCCGAUGCUUGGGUGACGAUGAAGCUAGAAGUUUGAUGGGGGAAAUCCAUGAAGGAGUGUGUGGAGCGCAUCAGUCGGCUUUUAAGAUGAAGUGGAUGAUUCGGAGGAAUGGAUAUUUUUGGCCGACCAUACUCGAGGAUUGCUUUAAGUAUUUCAAAGGAUGUCAAGGUUGUCAAAAGUUUGGAAACAUUCAAAGAGCACCCGCAUCGGCUAUGAAUCCCAUCAUAAAGCCUUGGCCGUUCCGGGGAUGGGCUAUCGAUCUGAUCGGCCAGAUUUAUCCACCAUCUAGCAAAGGGCAUAAGUUUAUUCUAGUUGCCACUGAUUAUUUCACUAAGUGGGUUGAAGCCAUUCCUCUGAAAAAAGUCACAUCGGCCAAUAUGAUUGAUUUUGUAAAGGAGCAUAUUAUUUACCGAUUUGGGAUCCCUCAAACGAUUACUACCGAUCAGGGCACUAUGUUCACGUCGGGGGAGUUCGAUGAAUUCGCAAUCGGUAUGGGAAUUAAAGUGUUGAAUUCUUCUCCUUACUAUGCUCAAGCCAAUGGGCAGGCCGAAGCGUCUAACAAAGGAAUUAUCAAGCUUAUUAAACGAAAGAUUGAAGAAAAUCCUAGGCGGUGGCAUACGUUAUUAAAUGAAGCAUUGUGGUCUUAUCGGAUGGCUUGUCAUGGAUCAACCAAGGUGUCACCUUAUCAAUUGGUGUAUGGACAUGAUGCGGUGUUGCCUUGGGAAAUUAAGGCUGGAUCUAGGCGAUUAUCUUUUCAAGACCAAUUAACUACCGAUGAUUAUGCCACUUUGAUGACCGAUGAAUUAGAUGAUCUAGCAGGGCAUCGGUUAAAGGCUUUAAUGAGUAUAGAGGAAAAUAAGAGGAGAGUUGCUAGAUGGUAUGAUAAGAAAGUAAAGACUAAGGAGUUUGCCGAUGGGGAUUUAGUAUGGAAGUUGAUUUUGCCAGUCGGGACUAAAAGUUCGAAGUUUGGGAAGUGGUCUCCUAAUUGGGAAGGUCCUUAUCGGAUAAGACACUCGGCUCCUGGUAAUGCCUAUAUUCUAGAAACUCUCGAAGGAGUUGAAUUUCCCAGAGCAUUAAAUGGCAAAUAUUUAAAGAAGUACUACCCCAGCAUAUGGGUCGAUGCAUGAAAGUUUAAGUGCCGAUAACACUCCUAUCGGCUGGAUUUAAAUGUUUGGGGGCAGACUUAAUGGUUCAAAAGAUACCGAUAACAGUCUUAUCGGCUAGACUAAAAGCUAAAGGCGGGAAAACAAAGGUGUGUUGCCGAUGAAAGCUUCAGACGUUCAGCAACGCUUGGAUUGUCGAUAUGGCGCGCAGCCGGAUCUGAUUGGCUGUCUCUAUCUCGUUGAUAUCAUCAUCGGCAGAACCUUCUAUCGGCUUCAGCUUCCUCUUCAACUGCAGCGCUUUGCGACCAUGGACGUUUCGUUCUUGUUCAAGGUGCUUGAUGGUCUCCGGCAGUUGACUCUCUUCUUGCUGGGCCUGGGACAGAGCAUCCUCUACUUGCUUGAGUUCGACCAGCAAAGCUUCUCUUUUUGCCGAUAGAUCGGACACUUUCUGCUUCAGUGCAUCACCUGAGGACUUUAAGGUGCCGAUGUUCUUAUGUUUCUCAUCGGCUAAGAGUUUUUCUUUCAUCAUCUCCUCAGAAAGCUGGAUUUGAGCGGUUCUAUCGGCAAGGCGUCGAGUGGCUCUCUGGUACUGUAGCUGGCGGCUUUCUAGGUGUGCAGCGUGGAAGAGGGUUUCUUCAGCAUCGGCAGGAAUUUGGCCUCUGAGGGUUUUGAACAGAGCCUUGGCUGGGUCAGAAUCGUUGACCAGUUGAGCUGUGUCUUGAUGAAGUAUAGCCGAUAGCUCCUCCAGCUUAGCCUUGGUUUCUGCCGAUACAGUCCCAAUUGCCCGAGAGGAGCUUGCUUCCUCACCCUCUUCUUCGAAGAUAUCAAUGGCGAAGGAGAAUAAGCUAUCGGGAGAAUCUUGUUCCUAAAAAUGAGAAUGAAAUAAGUCAUUUUUAUGGUCAAAGCUUCGGCAGAUGAUAUUGGUGGAAAAGUUGGAUGACUUACUUGUUUCAAGGCAAUUUCUUGCCUUUGACUCAAAGAUAUCGAUGGAGCCACAGGUUGAUCGGCAAAUGUUGCCGAUGGAACGACAUCGACUGAAAGAAGACAGGAAGAGUUAUGAGACUAAAUGAAAAUGGGUUUAUCGGCGGAAGUAUUGUUGAAAUAUGUUACCCGGAGGAGAAACGACAGUUGUCUGAAUCGGGGAAACCGCCGAUGAUAUAACUGGGCCUGCCGGGCCAGUUGUUUGUUCACCUACGUCAGCUGAUGUACCUUCUGUUUGAGGUUCUUCCUGCUGGGGUUCUUCCAUCUGUGGUGCUCCCUGCAUUGGUUGGGGAGAUGGUGCUUGCUGUGUCUGGACUUCUGGAGAAGAAGGGGAAGAUUCCACCGGGAUCGGAGACACCGGAGGAGGAGGAGGAGUUGCCACUUUCUGGCGCUUUGUUCCAGCCUUAGCACUUUGGGUGCCCUUCCUCUUUGGCUGGCUAGAUUUGGAGGCAUCGGUGCCUUGGCGUUUGGCUUUUGUCGAUGCACCAGUUUGCUGCAACGACAAAAAGGGGUUUAUGAGCGCAGAUAGUCGAUACAAAGAUAGUCAGCAUAAAUGAAAAGGGUUUAGCAAAUUACCUUAAAAGCUUGCGCCAGAGUGGAAGCAGCUACCGUUGGCGAUGUCUGAGGUUUUCUGGUGGUAACUUUCUUGAGGCGCGCACCCCGAUGCACGAUGGAAGCCAGAGUGGGAGCAUUGUGGCCGAUUGAGGAGAUCGGACCUGAUGGGAACAGGUCGAUCGGUUUGCCACUCCUGCUAACCGAUGGAGGGGUGUUGUCGACCUACAAAAGGAAUACAGGGAUAAGUUACCGAUGGAAAUAGUAUUAGAAAAUGAGACAUCAGUUUAAAAUACUUACAGUGUCAUCAGGGACUUCGUAUUUGGGGUCGAUCAUGCCGCGGUAUGAGAGGACCGAUCUGCAGAAUAGACUCUCUUUCCAUUCUGCCCACCAUAGCUUGUAUGCCUGAGUGAUAAAGGCAGCUGGAACCCAUUCUGACAGAUCUACAUCUGUAUCGGCAUUUGAUGGUAGCUGGGCUACUCGAAUCCACUCGAGAAGGUUGGUGAUGGGUUCUCUGGGCUUUAUCACAUCGGCAUAAGGAAGUGCAAUCGGCAACUGGCCGAAAGCUAGUUGACGAGCUAAUGCCGAUGGAUUGUAAAAUUCAUAGGUUUGGGGAGAGGUUUUUGUGCUACCAAAGAAAUUCACUGGUAUGGCCCUGGGAGUCACAAUUGCCAUCAUCACCUCAUUAUCCCUAUCGAGAGCUUCAUCAAAUGGAUUGAAGGUUAGAGGGAGCAUGCUGUCUGGGUCAUCAUAGGCCAACCAUGGUCGUUCAUCUCUGGCCAAUCCCUCAUACAAAGUCUCGAAGAAUCGGCCGAUCUGAUCCGGAUUGUUCCCUGAACCGGGUAAGACUAUAACGGCUUCGCCAAAGUUUAAGGGGGCACGCGUUGCCGAUUCUUCUUCACCCAACACAUGAUUUUCAGCUAUAUCUCUUGGGAAGUGCUGUGAGAACAAGUUGAAAUCAAGGCGCUUAUGCAGGUGCAGAUUGAGCCACAUAUUAAUGAACCACCAGGGGCCUCCCAAGUUGCCGAUGGAUUGGCCAAGCAGGAGUUUCUGGGCUACCUGAUGAAGAAGGUGGUAAACUGCGCUGAGCAAAUAUCGGCCGAGGGGAAAUUGGCCACCGCUAGCCAGUCUUUCUGCUGCCGACAGAUAGACAGAAGUUGGUCCUGCCGAUCGACCACAGAAUACGAACUUGUCCAGCCACAUGUUCAGAAAGGUGGUUUGCUCUUUUAUGGUGACAGGCCCUUUCCCGCGGUACUUCUGAAUGUACCCUGACCAACCGCCGAUAGCGCGAGUCUCCACUUUGGCACUGGGGCAGUAUCAAAAAAGUGGGUGCUAUCGGCGGAAGAUAUGUCUAGUCCAGUGAGCAUGGCUACAUCGGCAAGGGUAGGAGAAGCAGGGCCGUGGCCAAAAACAAAAGCAUUGAGGGUAUCUGACCAAAAAUAAGACGCAGCUAUCAACAGCGACUCGUUCUUGUGCAUAUCGGCAAUGGAUAGCCUGAUGCAUUGGGCUAGCUUCCUUUCACCCCACUGGACUUCAUUCGAAUUACUGACUCUUAAGAACCAGUCUUUCCACCCUACAGUAGGGCUGGGCCAAGAGCGAAAGGUGUCUUUCCACAGAUCUAAAGAGAAGUUUUCGGCCCUAAAAGGAAUCCUGUUGGUUUCUGCAUUAAUAAGGUCGGUUGGAUCUGGAUUCCCUAGAGGGCCGAGGCACUGAAGGUGUGGUUGAUCGGUAGGAAUGACAAUUUUGUUGGACAACUCCUAGUGUUUUGGGGAAUAAAAUACAAAGAAAAAGGGAAAAGGAAGAUAUUCAGUAAAAUGAAUCGCAGAUGAACAGGAAUGCGAGAAAAGGUACAGGAGAUGAGAUGGAAAUCUGACCUCAGGGACAACGAAGCCAAUGGCCAUCUUGUCGUGAAGAGGACGUUGGAGGGCACCGGAGUCGAUGAAGAGGAAUGCUUGUCGAAGAUCUUGAGGGUUGUAAAUGGCGCCGCCGCUGGAAAAGCAAAGUUGGACGGUAGAAUGGUGUAAUGGGGGAGGAGUACCCAAGAAGGAACUAUUUAUAGGACAAAAUGGGCAAGGGCAAAUCCGACUUAUUUCUCUGCCGCAUCCGAGAAAUCCGAGGGUACUCAGGUGGAUAUGGUAACUGUUCGCACGGUAAUCCAGGGAUUGUGUAGGUGAUUUGACGGGAAGCGGUCAUUAUCUGAAGAUAUUUUACUGUGCAAGAUCUCCUGGUCGGUCCAUCGGCAACAUUCUAUAACGGUCAUAUUGCCGAUGGGCGAAUAGAGGGGAAAUGACCGUUUGUGCGAAUAUCCUGGUCAAAACAUCGGCAGAUCUUUGUAACGGUAUUGUUGCCGAUGUACGGCUGAGAGAAAUGCCCGUUUAGGAAGUUGGAGAUUUUGAAGAAUCUGCGGAGGAAUAAGAUCAGAGUUGUUCAGAUUGAGGUUGUCGGUUACCAGAUUAGAAGCAUUAAUUGCGGGAAAGGCGUCAUUACUGCAGAGAAUUUCGGAGCAUUAAUAGUUUUAUACUCCGAAACUGGGGGGCAUGUGUUGACACCGUUUUUGGGCACGUGUAUAGGAUGACGGGAUAAGGUGGCAGUAUGCUGUUUACAGGAUGAGUUGCCGAUGAGGACAGUUGCCGAUGAAGGAGAGGUUGAAUGUGACUAGGUCCGCGGGCAGUAAUGUGUUUAUGCCGAUGGCUAUAAUGGGGGAGUUUGCCGAUGACCAUGGUAAGAAGUCUGCCGAUGACCAUGGUAAGGAGUCUGCCGAUGAUACGGAGGAGGAGUCCGGGAACUGUUGAUCGGUUUAUGGAAGAGUUUUAGUUCGUCACGGGAGAUAAUUUUGUUAUUUCCUUAUUUAUUUAAGUUGUUUUGUGUACGGAUUCCGUGCAAUUUGGAAUUCGAACUCUAGUCGUGUUUAAUUGUAGCUCUUUGAGUAGGGUAUAAAUAUGAACCCUAGGGCCUUGUAAUCUGGGAAUCAAUCAAACACACGUUUUUACUCAUAUUCCAGCAUCUACUUUUCGACGACUUCGUCAUACUUUUUUCUUUUUAUUACGAGUUCUUAGGAAUUCGUCGACUUAAGCUCGGCGUGUUCUCGAGUUCCGCGUGAGUACCUCUUAGCCGUGACAUCCGGGCGCAUCGCUGUUGUCAGGACUAAAGUAUUCGAGUUAUCAUCUUUGCCGAUAGCAAGGUCAAAUCGGCUGGCACGCCUUAACGUUUGAAUCGGGUAUUAGCCCUUUGUGUUUGCAGAUCAAUUUUGCAUCAACAACUAUGCAAUAAAUGUCUUGUAAGUAUGUAUUAGCUGUCUCCCACCUAUGAGCUCCAGAUAUCAAAACCUUAUUAGAGUAGGGCGAGAGAGAAGGCAAUGCCACUAUGCUUCAUACUACAAAUACCACAUACUUUGAGAGAAGGCAUACACCUCUACUGCCUUGGUAAGGAUCCAGAAAUACCACAAAAGAGAGACUAGAGAGAGUCAUACAAGGAAUCUCUGAGUUUUAUUUGAAAAUCUGCAAA